CCUACGGGUGGCAGCAGUGAGGAAUAUUGGUCAAUGGACGAGAGUCUGAACCAGCCAAGUAGCGUGAAGGAUGACUGCCCUAUGGGUUGUAAACUUCUUUUAUAUGGGAAUAAAAUGUUCCACGUGUGGGAUUUUGUAUGUACCAUUUGAAUAAGGAUCGGCUAACUCCGUGCCAGCAGCCGCGGUAAUACGGAGGAUCCGAGCGUUAUCCGGAUUUAUUGGGUUUAAAGGGAGCGUAGGUGGAUUGUUAAGUCAGUUGUGAAAGUUUGCGGCUCAACCGUAAAAUUGCAGUUGAAACUGGCAGUCUUGAGUACAGUAGAGGUGGGCGGAAUUCGUGGUGUAGCGGUGAAAUGCCUAGAUAUCACGAAGAACUCCGAUUGCGAAGGCAGUUCACUGGACUGCAACUGACACUGAGGCUCGAAAGUGUGGGUAUCAAACAGGAUUAGAUACCCCAGUAGUC
rnacentral:rRNA from 1 species